GAUGAACGCUGGCGGCGUGCCUAAUACAUGCAAGUCGAGCGAAUGGAUUAAGAGCUUGCUCUUAUGAAGUUAGCGGCGGACGGGUGAGUAACACGUGGGUAACCUGCCCAUAAGACUGGGAUAACUCCGGGAAACCGGGGCUAAUACCGGAUAACAUUUUGAACCGCAUGGUUCGAAAUUGAAAGGCGGCUUCGGCUGUCACUUAUGGAUGGACCCGCGUCGCAUUAGCUAGUUGGUGAGGUAACGGCUCACCAAGGCAACGAUGCGUAGCCGACCUGAGAGGGUGAUCGGCUACACUUGGGCUGAGACACGGCCCAGAAUCCUACGGGAGGCAGCAGUAGGGAAUCUUCCGCAAUGGACGAAAGUCUGACGUAGCAACGCCGCGUGAGUGAUGGAGGCUUUCGGGUCGUAAAACUCUGUUGUUAGGGAAGAACAAGUGCUAGUUGAAUAAGCUGGCACCUUGACGGUACCUAACCAGAAAGCCACGGCUAACUACGUGCCAGCCGCCGCAGUAA
rnacentral:rRNA from 1 species